CCCUUAGAUGUUCUGGGCCGCACGCGCGCUACACUGAUGCAUUCAACGAGUCUAAAACCUGCUCUGAUAGGGGUGGGUAAUCUUUUGAAUGUGCAUCGUGAUUGGGAUAGAUGAUUGCAAUUUUUCAUCUUCAACGAGGAAUGCCUAGUAAACGCAAGUCAUCAGCUUGCAUUGAUUACGUCCCUGCCCUUUGUACACACCGCCCGUCGCUCCUACCGAUUGAAUGAUCCGAUGAAUAUCAUGGAUUGAGGAUGCAAGCCGGUUCGCCUGUCUUCAUCUUCGAGAAGUGAAGUAAAUCUUAUCAUUUAGAGGAAGGAGAAGUCGUAACA
rnacentral:rRNA from 1 species